UACGGGGGGGGCAAGCGUUGUUCGGAAUUACUGGGCGUAAAGGGCUCGUAGGCGGCCAACUAAGUCAUACGUGAAAUCCCUCGGCUUAACCGGGGAACUGCGUCUGAUACUGGAUGGCUUGAGUUCGGGAGAGGGAUGCGGAAUUCCAGGUGUAGCGGUGAAAUGCGUAGAUAUCAGGAGGAACACCGAUGGCGAAGGCAGGUCUCUGGGCCGAUACUGACGCUGAGGAGCGAAAGCGUGGGGAGCGAACAGG
rnacentral:rRNA from 1 species